rnacentral:rRNA from 1 species
AGUAACGCGUGGAUAACCUGCCUCAUACAGGGGGAUAACAGUUAGAAAUGACUGCUAAUACCGCAUAAGCGCACAGGACCGCAUGGUCUGGUGUGAAAAACUCCGGUGGUAUGGGAUGGAUCCGCGUCUGAUUAGCUGGUUGGUGAGGUAACGGCCCACCAAGGCGACGAUCAGUAGCCGACCUGAGAGGGUGGCCGGCCACAUUGGGACUGAGACACGGCCCAAACUCCUACGGGAGGCAGCAG